GAUAGCAUUUACUGAUUUCUUGUUUCUUUCUGAUGACUGGAGGCAGUUAACUAUUACAAUGCUGGGACAGUGGAGUUUAUAGUUGAUACGGUCUCUGGCCAGUUUUACUUUAUGGAGAUGAAUACCCGUCUUCAGGUUGAACAUCCUGUCACAUAGAUGAUUGUUGGUCAAGAUCUUGUUGAAUGGCAAAUCCAUGUUGCCAAUGGAGACCCUCUUCCGUUGAGUCAAUCACAGAUUCCAAUAUUAGAUCAUGCUUUUGAAGCUCGAAUCUAUGCUGAAAAUGUUCCAAAAGGGUUUCUACCAGCAACUGGAGUAUUGCACUAUUAUCGCAUUCCGGACUCAUCAGGGGGUCAGUUGUGCAAAGUUAACCUAGUAAUUUUUAUGGUCAAUCUGAAAAUUUAUCCUAUUUUCUACUGUGGACGAACAUGAAACUCCAAGAUACUUUCUUUUAUACUAACCGAAAAAAUUUACUAUCUUGGCAGUCAGGGUGGAUACUGGGGUUAGAGAAGUAGAUGUUGUUAGCAUGCACUAUGAUCCAAUGAUUGCUAAGCUUGUGGUGCAGGGAGAAAAUCGUGUUGCAGCAUUGGUCAAACUGAAGGAUAGUUUGUCAAACUUUCAGGUUGCAGGUCUACCAACCAAUGUCAACUUUCUUCAAAAGCUCGCUAAUCACUGGGCAUUUGA